rnacentral:tRNA from 1 species
UAUAUUUUAGUAUAAGGUGUAUAAAAGUUUUUGAUUCUUUUGGAAAUAGUUUGAUUCUAUUAAAUAUAA